rnacentral:rRNA from 1 species
AUUGAACGCUGGCGGCAGGCCUAACACAUGCAAGUCGAACGGUAACAGGAAGAAGCUUGCUUCUUUGCUGACGAGUGGCGGACGGGUGAGUAAUGUCUGGGAAACUGCCUGAUGGAGGGGGAUAACUACUGGAAACGGUAGCUAAUAGCGCAUAACGUCGCAAGACCAAAGAGGGGGACCUUCGGGCCUCUUGCCAUCGGAUGUGCCCAGAUGGGAUUCGCUAGUAGGUGGGGUAACGGCUCACCUAGGCGACGAUCCCUAGCUGGUCUGAGAGGAUGACCAGCCACACUGGAACUGAGACACGGUCCAGACUCCUACGGGAGGCAGCAGUGGGGAAUAUUGCACAAUGGGCGCAAGCCUGAUGCAGCCAUGCCGCGUGUAUGAAGAAGGCCUUCGGGUUGUAAAGUACUUUCAGCGGGGAGGAAGGGAGUAAAGUUAAUACCUUUACUCAUUGACGUUACCCGCAGAAGAAGCACCGGCUAACUCCGUG